UCCACACUUUGGCUAAGUCCGCAUCCAUGCAGACUUCGCCAAAGCAUAUUACCCACAAUUCAUUGCUGCAUGUGAUGUUUUAAACUAAAAAAAAGUGGGAAAAUGGCAAUGUUUGGCGAUGCAGAUCCUGUGCCAGUGGCAAAAAAGUUUGUUUUUAAGUGGACGGAUGAAAUGACGUUCAGUUUUAUUCGAUUUAGGUCUGAAAAUGACCAUCUCUUCACUGGGCACAGAAAUGCCUCUACUCAAGGCUAUGACGAAAUAAUAAAAAUAAUGGACUUGGAGGGGAAAGUAACUCCUCAACAAUGCAAGAAGAAAUGGGAAAACCUAAAGAAAAA